GCUUAUCAUCAUUCCAGAUUGAAUAUACCCGAUCUCGUCUGAUCUCGGAAGUCAAGCAAUCUCCGGCUUGGUUAGUACUUGGAUGGGUGACCGCUUGGGAAUACCAAGUGUGAUAAGCA
rfam:Ciona savignyi cont_36312, whole genome shotgun sequence.